AUUGAACGCUGGCGGAAUGCUUUACACAUGCAAGUCGAACGAUGAACCUUAGCUUGCUAGGGGGAUUAGUGGCGAACGGGUGAGUAACAUAUCGGAACGUACCUAGUAAUGGGGGAUAACUAGUCGAAAGAUUAGCUAAUACCGCAUACGCCCUGAGGGGGAAAGUAGGGGAUCUUCGGACCUUACGUUAUUAGAGCGGCCGAUAUCUGAUUAGCUAGUUGGUGGGGUAAAGGCCUACCAAGGCGACGAUCAGUAGCUGGUCUGAGUGGACGACCAGCCACACUGGAACUGAGACACGGUCCAGACUCCUACGGGAGGCAGCAGUGGGGAAUUUUGGACAAUGGGGGCAACCCUGAUCCAGCCAUUCCGCGUGAGUGAAGAAGGCCUUCGGGUUGUAAAGCUCUUUCGCAAGGGAAGAAAACUUACAUUCUAAUAAAGUGUGAGGCUGACGGUACCUUGAUAAGAAGCACCGGCUAACUACGUGCCAGCAGCCGCAGUAA
rnacentral:rRNA from 1 species